rnacentral:rRNA from 1 species
AUUGAACGCUGGCGGCAUGCUUUACACAUGCAAGUCGAACGGCAGCGCGGGCUUCGGCCUGGCGGCGAGUGGCGAACGGGUGAGUAAUGCAUCGGAACGUGCCCAGUAGUGGGGGAUAGCCCGGCGAAAGCCGGAUUAAUACCGCAUACGACCUGAGGGUGAAAGCGGGGGACCGAAAGGCCUCGCGCUAUUGGAGCGGCCGACGUCGGAUUAGCUAGUUGGUGGGGUAAAGGCUUACCAAGGCGACGAUCCGUAGCUGGUCUGAGAGGACGACCAGCCACACUGGGACUGAGACACGGCCCAGACUCCUACGGGAGGCAGCAGUGGGGAAUUUUGGACAAUGGGGGCAACCCUGAUCCAGCCAUGCCGCGUGCGGGAAGAAGGCCUUCGGGUUGUAAACCGCUUUUGUUCGGGAAGAAAUCCUCUGGGCUAAUACCCCGGGGGGAUGACGGUACCGGAAGAAUAAGCACCGGCUAACUACGUG